rnacentral:sRNA from 1 species
GGAGGCGGCGACGCCCCCCCGACUUGAGACUGGUGAGAACCAGUCUGUCGCCUCCGCGCCUCAUUCUCGAUGAUGCCACUUCAAGGCGGACCCUCUGCGGUCCGCCU